GUUGAAAGACACUUCACAACAUACUUGUGAUUUUUGGUCCUAUGCUGGUAGGAAGUUUAUAUUGUAGUGUGACGCAUUUAUUUCCUAUUUUGUUUCUGUAGACAUGGAUUUGAGCCUCUUGUUCCAGAGAAUGCACGCUUGCGGGGCCACGUAUCGCAGAGAAGCAAUCUGCGAUAUAUAAAAACAGUUGUCGAAUAUUUUGACGAGCGACAGCGGGCAGACUUUCGCAACUCAUGCCUUGGGUUCUUGUCCGAGGUUCCGGAUCUCCAAUUCUCUGCCCAAUUAAUCCAACAACUCGUAUUCUGCUGCAUACAAACAAAUAAGCGGCACGAACUGUGGUUUAAUUUGCAAGGCCACCUCGUCAGGUUCGGAAUUCAAGAAUAUGCCCUGGUCACAGGAUUAAGGUAUGGUCUUCUCCCGGAUGACAAUGUCGUGGACCGAGUUCUUGACAAGAGGAGACUAAAGGACAAAUACUUUAAACAUGUUGACAAGAUUUUAUGGUAUGGAUGAAUUUGGUCACGUUCUCUGGAUACGUGCAGAAACUGCAUCUCCAUAAUAGGCAAUCGCAGUAGUGUAGGUUUUCAAGCCGCUGUUGUUACCAACUGCCGAGAAUUACAGAGACUAUCUGUCGGAAACGACAUAUGAACUGUCGAGACGUAAUGUUGGUGUUUUGUUUGUUCACUAUGGUCUCAUGAAAAUCAAUUUUUCAUUUCGACAAACUGUCAGUCGAAGCUAAUGAAACUUCUAUGAUCGGCUAAGUUUAUAUUAAGAAAAAGGUAUUCAUCUCGUUUGUGAUAAUGGAACUGUAAUGAUCGGUACUUUGCUUGUGG
rnacentral:lncRNA from 1 species